rnacentral:rRNA from 1 species
AUGAACGCUAGCGACAGGCUUAACACAUGCAAGUCGAGGGGCAGCACAGGUAGCAAUACCGGGUGGCGACCGGCGCACGGGUGAGUAACGCGUAUGCAACUUACCUAUCAGAGGGGGAUAACCCGGCGAAAGUCGGACUAAUACCGCAUGAAGCAGGGGCCCCGCAUGGGGAUAUUUGCUAAAGAUUCAUCGCUGAUAGAUAGGCAUGCGUUCCAUUAGGCAGUUGGCGGGGUAACGGCCCACCAAACCGACGAUGGAUAGGGGUUCUGAGAGGAAGGUCCCCCACAUUGGUACUGAGACACGGACCAAACUCCUACGGGAGGCAGCAGUGAGGAAUAUUGGUCAAUGGCCGAGAGGCUGAACCAGCCAAGUCGCGUGAGGGAUGAAGGUUCUAUGGAUCGUAAACCUCUUUUAUAAGGGAAUAAAGUGCGGGACGUGUCCCGUUUUGUAUGUACCUUAUGAAUAAGGAUCGGCUAACUCCGUGCCAGCAGCCGCGGUAAUACGGAGGAUCCGAGCGUUAUCCGGAUUUAUUGGGUUUAAAGGGUGCGUAGGCGGCCUUUUAAGUCAGCGGUGAAAGUCUGUGGCUCAACCAUAGAAUUGCCGUUGAAACUGGGGGGCUUGAGUAUGUUUGAGGCAGGCGGAAUGCGUGGUGUAGCGGUAAAAUGCAUAGAUAUCACGCAGAACCCCGAUUGCGAAGGCAGCCUGCCAAGCCAUGACUGACGCUGAUGCACGAAAGCGUGGGGAUCAAACAGGAUUAGAUACCCUGGUAGUCCACGCAGUAAACGAUGAUCACUAGCUGUUUGCGAUACACUGUAAGCGGCACAGCGAAAGCGUUAAGUGAUCCACCUGGGGAGUACGCCGGCAACGGUGAAACUCAAAGGAAUUGACGGGGGCCCGCACAAGCGGAGGAACAUGUGGUUUAAUUCGAUGAUACGCGAGGAACCUUACCCGGGUUUGACAUCCUGCGACGAUGCUGGAAACAGUAUUUUCCUUCGGGACGCAGAGACAGGUGGUGCAUGGUUGUCGUCAGCUCGUGCCGUGAGGUGUCGGCUUAAGUGCCAUAACGAGCGCAACCCUUGCCACUAGUUACUAACAGGUAAAGCUGAGGACUCUGGUGGGACUGCCAGCGUAAGCUGCGAGGAAGGCGGGGAUGACGUCAAAUCAGCACGGCCCUUACAUCCGGGGCGACACACGUGUUACAAUGGCGUGGACAAAGGGAAGCCACCUGGCGACAGGGAGCGAAUCCCCAAACCACGUCUCAGUUCGGAUCGGAGUCUGCAACCCGACUCCGUGAAGCUGGAUUCGCUAGUAAUCGCGCAUCAGCCAUGGCGCGGUGAAUACGUUCCCGGGCCUUGUACACACCGCCCGUCAAGCCAUGGGAGCCGGGGGUACCUGAAGUCCGUAACCGCGAGGAUCGGCCUAGGGUAAAACUGGUGACUGGGGCU